CUGGGAUGAACUGAGGAUGAGCACAUUCUCAGCACAUUUUCAUUUUUAGUGAAGUAUUCCCUUAACGUGUACUCAGAAGUAGCGCAGCUCAGUGAAAUUUCACGAGCGAAAUCCAGUCAGUUCAAAAGGAGUUGUGUGAUCUGGAGUUUCGCGUGAGGAUUUUGUUCAUGUUCAGGUUGAUCAUGCGGAUUCACCAACAUAAAGCAGCUUGGUUUGAAAGUGACUUCUGUGUGAGCUGUGCUUUAUAAAUCACUACUGAUAAUAGACUGGAGCUUUUUCACCCAUGCAAUCUAAUGUGACCGCACCUUUAGACACUGUGUGACCCACAUGAUGACUGGUGUUUAGGUGGCGGGUUCAUCUAAAAUAGAUUCUGCAGAACAUUUACUGAUCAGAACUGCAGUUUAUGGGGCGAUUUCAGAAACUGCCCAGGUCUGAAUGAACUCAGUCUGACACUGAUGUAAAAAUGUAUAUAUGCUAUGUAAAUGUAUGCCUUAUCUCAAGCUCAGAAUAGAGUCUGCAGGAUGGACCAGAGCUUGUUUUACAUAAGGAACCACAACUAGACCAGCUGGACUCCCUCUUGAAAACAUGAAGACACACACAACAUGACAGAACUCCAAAGACAAAUGUAAGAGAAGGUCAAAAUUGUGAGAGAAGUCACUUUAUUCCUCUGACUAAUGCACAAUUAAACUGCCGUGCCAUAUGGAGUAUAGAGGAGGCACAAAGGCUGUAACACAGAAGGUUAAAUAAGAUGGGCAGGGCGAUGACGAUUCAUGAUCCACAACUUUCAUUUUGGCACAUAGCGGUCUGUGAUUGGCGCAUCAGAAUCGUUCUUUGAUAAGGAUUGGCUGUUUACACGAGGAGGCGGGACUUAAGCGAUCAGCCGCAGGACAGCUCGUACAGAAUGAGCCACUAGUAGAAGAGCGAGCGGUGCUGGAGAUGUUAUAACUGCUCCUCCUGAGAACGCACCUCCGAGACGGAAAGGAUUUGGAGGCUGUUUACCACCAAACAUAAUCUUAUAAAACUAGAGCUGCAGUGUUGCAUGGAUAUAGGAACUCCAGCAGGCAUUCAGUCAUUCGGGCUCUGCAGACGCUGUUGUGCAUCUCUGAUCUGGCCUACAUUCAGCAGCACCAGCACCAGCACCAGCAUCACUCCACUGAAGGAAGAGCCCAGAUCAGAUUAGCCCCAAACAAACAUCAGACAGGAAGAGGAACUGAUGUUGCAGCUCACACUGGGAUUAUGUGCCGUAAGAGCUUCAGUCAGUCUAAGGAUGCUUUUGAGACUCAAACAUAAGAUCAUAACCACAACACACCAUAUGGCUCUUUCAUGUCAUAUUUAUUUAUCUAUCACAGGUCCUGCUAUAGUCUGAGACCACUACUGAAAAUGUUUCUGUUUUGCUUCUUCUUCUUUUUUUUUUAAAUGUAUAUCUUCAUACCAUUUUUUAUUUGUAUAAGUUAUAUUAUCAGCAUAACAGUGAAAUUGAAAAGUCAAGCACAAUGUUUCAUAUCACAUGAUUUCAUAGGUCACACAGGAGUCCCACAGUCAUGAAUCAUUGGGCAAUGUCAGGAAAUUUUAAAAUGGUAAAUAGUAGGGAUGGGGAAG